CUUCGUUAUUAAUAUUAAAUAUUUUUCAUCAUUGUCAUUUUUAUUUAUAUAAUUUUUUAUAUUUUAACACCCUUCAGACAGGGAAAUAGUACAAUGGUAUUCCUGUCCGUGCCAGCAAGAACUUCUUGUUCUCCUGGUCUCUUUAGGAUGACCCGCACUGUCUUAUCCAUCCUGGUGGUGUUUUAUUUACACAUCCAAAUGUAAAUAAAAAAUGACAUGGCAACACGCAGCACAAUAAAGUAACAACUUUAUUUAUUUAUUUAUUUUUUUCUGCUAUAAAAUACAAACUGUAACCUGUUGUUCUCGGCGUUUCCAGGACCACUACAAUACUGAGAAGCCCUCGCUGAAAGAAUCAGAGAGCACGAUCAUGUAAAGGACGCUACAUCGGCCAUAGUAGAACAAUACAGUGGGCCAGAGUUUGCAGAAAUCAAGAAGAAACUUGAGACACUGAAGGAGUCGAACUCUGAACUAAAAGAAACAUUACUCCUGUUCACUGAAGUCACUGACAACAAGUCGGAGUUCAUCCAGAGGGCAAUCGAGGGAAAUCAAAGACUAAGAUGAAACCGAGGUGAUCAAAAAUGAAUUAUAAUCACGACUUAUUAACAUUAGCAUUAGUUGAUGCAUUAGUGAGCAUUAUUGUGGCAUUAGCACAAGAGAGUUCUUCAUCGCUGAUGCGUCACACACAGGAUGAUGAGGCUGGAACCUGUUGGCCCAUGUCAGAAAGUGUCAGUCAAGGUCAGGUAGUUUAGGUUUCUGGCUGCUUUAUUUGUUGUUUUUGUGGUUAUAUUCAGGAUUAACUGAGUGAACAUCUGUACAAAUGUCAUGAUGUUUUGGGUUUUGGGUCUUUCUUUUCACAAUAUCUGUUCUGUCUGCGUUUUUAUAAUGUAAACUCUCCUUAAUUACUGGUAAAUAUGCAGGUGUGGACGCUCAAUGCUUUGCAAAACCAUAACAAACAAAAGCUCUCAAUCAUUAAAAACCGGACUGCCUCUAUAUGGAAUUACUUUCUGCUGAAGGUCUUGUGUGCAGUACUUAGUAACUUAGUAACGACAAGCGGUAAGCAGGCCCAUUGUAACACUAUAAGUCGACCCCCCCCCCCCCCCCCCCGUAUAUAUAAUGUACCUGCAAACAUUCUUGCAAUCAAGACUUUAUUGCAGUUCAAGCAAGUUGAUUGUGAUUUCUCUCUCACGAACAUCCGAGCAUCUCCAGCCAACAGGAUGACCCGCACUGUCUUAUCCAUCCUGGUGAUCUUUGUGUGUCUUGCACCGAUACUGGAAACACUGAGCAGCAUACUGGAAGACCGAAUGAAGAUGAUUCAAGUUAUUGAAUUGGAGUUCCAUUCCCUGAAGGACUCCCACAAUACCCGGAAGGACGCCCUCGCUGCAGAGUUCAAAGAGAUUGACAGUGAACUGGACGCCACAUCGGCCAUAUUGAGACAAUGCUAUGGGCCCGGGGCUGAAAAACUUAAGAAGAACUCUGAGACACUGAAGGAGUGGCACACUGAAACUAAAGAUAAAUUUCUCCUGAUCUUUGAAGUCCUUGACAACGCAUACGUGUUCCUCCAGAAGGAAAUCGAGGAAGUCAAAGACCUUGUCCAUGGAAACGAGGACCACUACAAUGCUCGGAUGGACGCGCUCGCAGAAGAGUUCAAAGAGAUUGAAAGAGAACUGGAAGCUUCAUUGGCCAUGUUAAGUCAAGGCAGAAGGCCCAAGUUUGUGGCAAGCAAGAAUUACUUUGAGACACUGAGGGAGUGGUACUCUGAAACUCAAGAUAAAUUUCACCUGUUCACUGAAGUCUUUGACAACGCGUAUGAGUUCAUCCAUAAGGGAAUCGAGGGAGUCAAAGACUUUUUCCGUGAAACCGAGGGGAACAAAGAUGAAUUAUAAUCACACCUUAUUAACAUUAGCAUUAGUUAUGCAGUAAUAAGCAAUAUUAUAUGGCAUUAGCAUAGGGGUGAGUGGGUUCUUCAUCGCUGAUGCGUCACUGCGUCACACACAGGAUGAUGGAGGGUGGAACCUGUUGGCCCGUGUCAGAAAGUGUCAGUCAGGGUCAGGUAGUUUAGGUUUCUGACUGCUUUAUUGGUUAGUUUUUGUGGUCGUAUUUAGGAUUAACUGAGUGAACAUCUGUUCAAAUGUCAUGAUUUUUGGGGUUUUGGGUCUUUCUUUUCACAAUAUCUCUUCAGUCUGAGUUUGUAUACGGAACUUGUAAACUCUCCCUAAUUACUGGUAAAUAUACGAAUGGAUAAAUGUUUUUGUCAUAUCUUGGUAUUCUCAUUUGUUUGGAGUAUUUUUUUUUUCUUGCCUUGUGAAAAAGUAUAGAAGAGAAGCUGUUAAUUAUUUGGCAACAGACUUUUACAAACCGAAUGCAGGUCUCUGAACACGCCCUAGCCACUCCCGUACAAACACAACAAACUAAAACAUGGGAACAAAAUAACAAGUGGAAAUCUAGUUGAACGUUCACUGAUGUGAUUAUUGUUACUAUAUUAUGCUAUUUACCAUUUUAUAGCAAAUGCCAAAUAUAUAUAUGUUAAUCUCUCGCAUUUUGGUGGAGCGCAUUCGAUGUCCCAAUUUUGACGAAUGUAAACACAAUAACAACAGAAGAAUCUUUAUAGGUUUAGGUGUGGUCGCUCAGUGCUUAUCAAAACCAAAACAAACAAAAGCUCUCAAUCAUUCAAAGCCGGUCUGCCUCGAUAUGGAACUACUUUGUGCUGAAGGUCUUGUGCGCAGUUCUUAACUUAGUAACAACAAGCGGUAAGCAGGCCCAUAUUAACACGAUACAUCCCCCCCCCCCCCCCCCAAUACACACCACAAUAUCAGACAUAAGCAAGGGGAUUUCUUCAAUGUAAUUGACUAACUUGUCCAACUACAUACAUGUAGGCAUAUGAUCAAUGAGCAAUGUAUUCCAACGUCUCAAUUCAAAAUGUCUAUCAAUUCAAAAAGCACAGCACUCAAAUCAAAAUAGCAAAAUCUAUUUAAUGUUUUUGACCUACUCCUCAUAUAGGAGUGUAACUCCUUCAAUAUCUCAAGUGGCAUUUUCGUAUUUCUCACACUGAUCUCUCAGCGAUGCAAGAACGCAGUGACUCCAAAAGACGUUCUGCAUUGUCUAAAGUUACGUCUUGCUUUAUGAGUCAUGAAGGUCGAAUCAUAUAAAGUGGUUUGUCUUUGAGUUUGUGUCAGUGUGUACGUGUGCGUGUGAGUGUGUGUCUGUGUAGGUGAGCGUGUGUUUUGUUGAUGUGUUGCUCAUGGGUAGUAUUACGUAUGCAUGUUUUCCAUGUUUCCAUUGUAUGAUCAUGUUUGGAAUUUCAUUUACCCAUUAUAAGAUAUAGAAAAUAGACAAUUAGAUAUAGAUAAUAUAUCAUUACUGCCAACAAAUAGCUUUGUUUAAACAAUCUAAUGCUACGUGCAAUGCCAAAUGUUAAAUGCUAAUGCCAUAUGCUACGUGCUGUGUGUGAAAUGAAACGUGAUAAAAAAAUAUAUAAUAAUGCUAUCUGCCAAAUGCUAAAUGCAUUGUGUUACAUGUUACAGGCUUUGUGCGGUAUACUACAUUCUGUCCAUAAUGUUCACACGACGAAGAAAAUUUUCUAAAUGUGGUCUGAUAAAUGAUAUAUGCUAAAGGCUAUGGGCUGAAUACUAAAUGCUUUGUGCUUUAUGCUAAAUACUUUUUGAUAGAUGACAUGCUAUGGGCUUUGUGCUGCUUGCUAAAUGAUCUUUCAAAAAUGCCAUCUGAUUCUGUCUGAUAAAUUAAACAUGUUUUGCUGAUUGCUCAGUUCCAGAGCAAUCAGCCCGAUAAGUCCGCAAAAUAAUUCUCAACAUUGAAAUAAAGCAUUGCAGCCAAAAAAACAAAAAAUAUACCAACAUAUAUUCUGACGUAGAUGAAGAAAGCAUAACGACACUGCAAGACAUGUAGCAAGGGGUCGCUUAUCAAAUGCAUGCAAUGCUCAUGAAAGGGAUCUUUUUAUGCACCUUUAAUUUAAUUAGAUUUAAUUUAAUUAUUUCCCAUGCAUCAUUUCCACCUCUUUGAGCCGCUGUUAUGCUACUUAAGGGGUCAGACCAGUUGGACGACUGGUCAAGGGAACAAAUGUCUUUAAAACUGCUAAUAGACUAACUUAUGACUUCUCAACUCUCAGGAUGACUUCAAGAUGGUGAUUGAAGAUGUCGAAUUGUACAUCAAUUCCUUGAAGGUGGGUCAAGUCUCGCACGGUGCUGUCAGUACUAAGGCACAAAUUGGUCAUGGUCAGACUCAGUUCACUUAAAAUGAAGAAGCUAAAAUUAUGAUUAUAUGAUUUAAUUUAUUAAGGUCACAUAAAACAAUUUACCCUUUUACGUCAGUUUAUCUCACAUUAAUGUCCGGCUCGCCGAACAUUAUCUCUUACAUGGUGCAGAAAUAGCUGAUAACAAAAAACAACACAAACUGUAAAACUUGAAGUAAAGAAAUAUCUAAACAAUGAAUAAAAGAUAUGACACUGCAAUAUGCAGCACAAUAAGGUAACAAUAUAGCUUAUGCCGCUAUAAAAUACUAACUUCGACCUGUUGUUCUCUGCACUUCCAGGAAGAAGAUUUUGAGAUGGUUACUAACAGCCUCAUAGACGAGCAAAUUCGUGUAACAAACAAUAUAUUGAACGUCAUACAAAUCAUUGGCCCUGAGUUUGCGGCAGUCAAGAAGCUAUUUGAGGCAGUGAUGGAGAUUAUCCCUCGUUAUUUAACUAAAAGCUAAAUGGCUCAAGUCCCCUGAGACUAUAAGCUUAUUUGGGAUUACAUCCACAAGGCAAUCGAGGGACUCAAAGUCUUGCAUGAAACCAUGGUGAUCAAAGAUGAAUUAUAAUCACACCUUCUUAACCUUAGCAUUAGUUAAUGCAGUAAUGAGCAUUAUUAUAUAGCAUUAGCAUAGGGGUUAGAGUGAGUGGGUUCUUCAUCGUCACUGCGUCACACACAGGAUGAUGGAGGCUGGAACCUGUUGGCCCGUGGCAGAAAGUGUCAGUCAGGGUUAGAUAGUUCAGGUUUCUCGCUGCUUUAUUUGUUGUUUAACUGAGUGAACAUCUGUAAAAAUGACAUGAUGUUUUAGGUUUUGGGUCUUUCUUUUCACAAUAUCUGUUCUGUCUGCCUUUGUACAAGAUAUUGUAAACUCUCCUUAAUUACAGGUUGCAUUUAAAAGGUUAGUUCAAACAUUUGUAGAAAUAAAUGUUUUUUUCACAUCUUGGUAUUCUUAUUUGAUUGGACUAUUUCCCUCUAAACUCAUCCAUCUUUCUGUGUUGUUGUUUUUUCUUGCCUUGUGAAAAAGUAUAGAAGAGAAGCUGUAAUUUAUUUGGGAACAGGCUUUGAAUAACCAAAUAGUAGGUAUUUCUGUUUAGUGUGUUUUUGAUGACCCACUCAGUCCGUACUGAGACGUAUUGUGUCUGUACGUCUCUAUAGCAUUCAGAGCUUGUUCGGCUGCAUUCUGUCUGCCUUUUAUUUUGGAUCGCCCGAUUCCCAUUUAAUAACACCCUCAGAGUAAAUCUGAGGAACACACAGACACUUAGGUAGUCUAGUAGGUCCCGUUUAGUAGGAUUUCAUAGAAUAAAAUCGGGAAAGAUCCAAGAUCCAUCCUCACAUGUGCUAAAAAUAGGAGAACUUCCACGGAAGAACAGCAUAAGGGAUAGGUGGCAAAAUGAAGAUAUCAAAGUUAGAGGGAACGAAAGAAGGACACACACACACACACACACACACACACACACACACACACACACACACACACACACACACACACACACACACACACACACACACACACACACACACACACACACACACACACACACACGAGUGCAACCCGUUAUUUCUGUAUCGCUGCAUUGAUAAUGGUACUGUUGAUCUUCUUUGGGACGGUUGUUUACAGGUUCCCUGUUGCUGACACGACGACGAUUGAACGCCUGAAGGAGGCUCCCAUGAUGUGAAAGUAACCUCUCUGUGAGCUGAGCCCUUGACAAGGAGGGACGAGUCUUGGGUUCAUGAAUUACAGGCCCCGACGGCGACAGAAGAAACAAUGGCUGCGAUAAUAACAACGUCCAAAACCACCCACAUGCAACAGCGCACCAAUGCACGAAGAUCACCUGAACCACCCAAAUCCAUGCUAGCCUAUCAAUAAUCUUGAAUUUUUUAAAUUUUUAUUAUGACUACAAAUUCUCACUUUACUUUUGCACAUGUUGAAAAUUUUAUGACCUUGUUGCACAUAACCAAAAAGUAUUGGCUUAGCAUUUCUAUGGAUACUUUUGUUUGUGUGCUGUUUGACCAUGUGAUUGUAUGAUAACCAGGAUAUAUGUUCAUUGUUGUAUUGUUAAUAUGACUUGUAUUACCUAUGAGACCCAUCAGGGCGAAUGCCGUUUCAGUGUUAUGGUAAUCCGUGAUGGUUUUACCUCUAUUAUGGAGUUUUCCCACUCGGUUGAUGGUGUUGAUGAUUUAUCCUACUUUGACUAUGUUUUCGGUGUUUAAAUGGAGUUUAUGAUUUAAAAUAUUAUUGUAUGGUCA
ensembl:lncRNA